rnacentral:miRNA from 2 species
GUAACCAUUGACCUCCAUAGU